rnacentral:rRNA from 1 species
UACGUAGGGUGCAAGCGUUGUCCGGAAUUAUUUGGGCGUAAAGAGCUCGUAGGCGGUCUGUCGCGUCUGCUGUGAAAACCUAGGGCUUAACUCUGGGCGUGCAGUGGGGUACGGGCAGGCUAGAGUGCGGUAGGGGAGACUGGAAUUCCUGGUGUAGCGGUGAAAUGCGCAGAUAUCAGGAGGAACACCGGUGGCGAAGGCGGGUCUCUGGGCCAUUACUGACGCUGAGGAGCGAAAGCGUGGGGAGCGAACAGG